rnacentral:rRNA from 1 species
AUGUGGUAUCUUCGUAGGGGAGUUGUGCUAACCAAAGACAACAUUGCAUGAUGCAGCUGGCCAGGAAGUAAGCAGUGUUGCUUUUGUCCUCAUGACGAGACAAUCAAGCACCUCUUUUUCCAAUGCAAGUUUGCACGUUCUACAUGGUCAGUCAUCCAAAUAGCGUCAAAUUUGUAUCCACCCACAAGUGUUGCCAAUAUAUUUGGUCAUUGGUUGGACGGUAUUUCAAAUAAGUUCAAAACGCUAAUAAGGGUGUGAGCGUAUGCCUUACUUUGGUCGCUUUAG